rfam:Lottia gigantea unplaced genomic scaffold LOTGIsca_6731, whole genome shotgun sequence.
GGUAGAGUGGCCGAGCGGUCUAAGGCACUGGUUUUAGGCACCAGUCUCUUCGGAGGCGUGGGUUCGAAUCCCACCUCUGCCA